rnacentral:SRP_RNA from 1 species
AUCCGGAACCUGUGCAAUCUCAGUCCACGAACCGCGUCAGGGCCGGAAGGCAGCAGCGCUCACUGGAUCCUGAGAUGUGCCGCAGGCGCUUCCGGAUCGC